UGGGGAAUCUUGGACAAUGGGGGCAACCCUGAUCCAGCCAUGCCGCGUGAGUGAUGAAGGCCUUAGGGUUGUAAAGCUCUUUCAGUGGUGAAGAUGAUGACGGUAACCACAGAAGAAGCCCCGGCUAACUCCGUGCCAGCAGCCGCGGUAAGACGGAGGGGGCUAGCGUUGUUCGGAAUUACUGGGCGUAAAGGGCGUGUAGGCGGAUCGGUCAGUCAGUGGUGAAAGCCCCGGGCUCAACCUGGGAAUUGCCUCUGAUACUGCCGAUCUAGAGUCCGGGAGAGGGUAGUGGAAUUCCCAGUGUAGAGGUGAAAUUCGUAGAUAUUGGGAAGAACACCAGUGGCGAAGGCGGCUACCUGGACCGGUACUGACGCUGAGGCGCGAAAGCGUGGGGAGCAAACAGGAUUAGAUAGCCCUGGUAGUCCACACCGUAAACGAUGAAUGCCAGUCGUCGGGUAGCAUGCUAUUCGGUGACACACCUAACGGAUUAAGCAUUCCGCCUGGGGAGUACGGUCGC
rnacentral:rRNA from 1 species